GACGAACGCUGGCGGCGUGCUUAACACAUGCAAGUCGAACGGAAAGGCCCUGCUUUUGUGGGGUGCUCGAGUGGCGAACGGGUGAGUAACACGUGAGUAACCUGCCCUUGACUUUGGGAUAACUUCAGGAAACUGGGGCUAAUACCGGAUAGGAGCUCCUGCUGCAUGGUGGGGGUUGGAAAGUUUCGGCGGUUGGGGAUGGACUCGCGGCUUAUCAGCUUGUUGGUGGGGUAGUGGCUUACCAAGGCUUUGACGGGUAGCCGGCCUGAGAGGGUGACCGGCACAUUGGGACUGAGAUACGGCCCAGACUCCUACGGGAGGCAGCAGUGGGGAAUAUUGCACAAUGGGCGGAAGCCUGAUGCAGCAACGCCGCGUGCGGGAUGACGGCCUUCGGGUUGUAAACCGCUUUCGCCUGUGACGAAGCGUGAGUGACGGUAAUGGGUAAAGAAGCACCGGCUAACUACGUG
rnacentral:rRNA from 1 species